rnacentral:miRNA from 1 species
AUGUGUAUAUAUAUAUGUGUGUGUGUAUAUAUGUAUAUGUGUAUAUACAUACACGUGUAUAUAUAUACACACAUAUAUACAUAUAUACACAUAUAUAUCUACAUAUAUAUCUAUA